AAGCGGCAACAGCUCAAAUUUGAAAUCUGGCCCUUGGGUCCGAGUUGUAAUUUGUAGAGGAUGCUUUUGGCGAGGUGCCUUCCGAGUUCCCUGGAACGGGACGCCAUAGAGGGUGAGAGCCCCGUCUGGUCGGACACCGAGCCUCUGUAAAGCUCCUUCGACGAGUCGAGUAGUUUGGGAAUGCUGCUCAAAAUGGGAGGUAUAUGUCUUCUAAAGCUAAAUAUUGGCCAGAGACCGAUGCGCACAAGUAGAGUGAUCGAAAGAUGAAAAGCACUUUGAAAAGAGGGUUAAAAAGUACGUGAAAUUGUUGAAAGGGAAGCGCCUAUGACCAGACUUGGGCCCGGUGAAUCAUCCAGCGUUCUCGCUGGUGCACUUUGCCGGGCACAGGCCAGCAUCAGUUUGGCGCGGGGGAAAAAGGCUUUGGGAAUGUGCCUCCCUCGGGAGUGUUAUAGCCCAUUGUGUAAAUACCCUGCGCCGGACUGAGGUACGCGCAUUGCAAGGAAUCUGGCCUUAAUGGUCAUCAGC
rnacentral:rRNA from 1 species